CUUGAGCCGUGGCUUUCGGAGCUAACGCGUUAAGUAGACCGCCUGGGGAGUACGGUCGCAAGAUUAAAACUCAAAUGAAUUGACGGGGGCCCGCACAAGCGGUGGAGCAUGUGGUUUAAUUCGAUGCAACGCGAAGAACCUUACCUACUCUUGACAUCCAGAGAAGCCAGCGGAGACGCAGGUGUGCCUUCGGGAGCUCUGAGACAGGUGCUGCAUGGCUGUCGUCAGCUCGUGUCGUGAGAUGUUGGGUUA
rnacentral:rRNA from 1 species